ensembl:lncRNA
CUAGUGGUUAGAGCGUCGGGCCAGGUAGCCUAGUGGUUAGAGCGUCGGGCCAGGUAGUCUAGUGGUUAGAGCGUCGGGCCAGGUAGCCUAGUGGUUAGAGCGUCGGGCCAGUAGUGAAAAGUUGCUUGAUUGAAUCUCAGAGCUGGCAAGUUAAAUAUCUGUCGUUCUUCCCUUGAACGAGGCCGUUUAACCCACUGUUCCCUGUCUGCCGACGAUGUCGAUUUAAGGCAGCCCCCCCCCCCCGUACCUCUGAUUCAGAGGUGUUGGGGGGUUCAAUGCGGAAGACGCAUUUCAGUUGGAGGCAUUUAGUUGUACAACUGACUAGGUAUCCCCUCCCUUUCCCCUUUCAAGUAACCCAGGUUGUCUGUAUCCC